AGAGAGUUCAGACUUUUCUGAACUUACCUUUCGACUCCACGUAGCCCUUGACGAAAGCUUCGUAGAACCUCGCAAACUCGGGCGCGUUGUCGUUCACGUCGAGCACUUUGACCGUCACCGAGACGCUGCCCACCUGC